UCCGGCGAUAGGCCGGCGGUCCCCUGUGUGAAAUCUAACGCAGGGUAAGGGUUGCGCUCGUUUACGGACUUAACCGAACAUCUCACGACACGAGCUGACGACGGCCAUGCAGCACCUGAUUCGUAGGCUCCUUGCGGCACUUUUUCCUUUCGGAAAAAUUCCUACGACUUCAAGCCCAGGUAAGGUUCUUCGUUUAGCGUCGAAUUAAACCACAUGCUCCACCGCUUGUGCGGGCCCCCGUCAAUUCCUUUGAGUUUUAGCCUUGCGGCCGUACUCCCCAGGCGGAACACUUAACGCGUUAGCUUCGACUCUGAGAGGGUCGACUCUCCCAAUGUCUAGUGUUCAUCGUUUACAGCGUGGACUAC
rnacentral:misc_RNA from 1 species